rnacentral:lncRNA from 1 species
GUCUCAAUUCAUAAAUCUUAGAAUGAUUUAGAUCUAGAUCUACUCCCAGUUUUUAUACACGUUUAACUUGUCUAGAGCUGUGUACACAACGAAGAUCUACUGUGACAUAGGCCUACACGUAGGCCUAAUGAAAACGAAAGUGGUUGAAAAUAGCGUCCUGUAUUCCUGUAUCUAGUCCAGCUGAUCACUGUAACACAAAGUAAAGAAAUGUUUUCGGACUUACAGCAAAGUGUUAUGGAAUUCAGGGAGAUUAAUGUGUUAUAAAUUACUGUUUAAAGCCGAAAACGAAAGUAGACUUACAUUUGUUUAACCUAAAAAUAGAAAUGGAUUUUCAAAGUUUCAAAGUUGUUACUUAAUUUAGAUUACACGUAAAACGAACGGAGAUAACAUAAUGUGCAUUUACAUUUUCAUUAACCUUAAGAUAACGUGUAUGAAGAUUAGCUAGAAGAAUUCAUAUAAUGUCGGAUUUAUAACAAUAAAACAAGCCUGCUGACACAAAGAAGUAUUGCAUUUAAAAAUAGAAAUGUAUUUCUGGCUGUCGUACUUAAAGAUAACGACAGAGUAAGAUGACCCAUCGUGCAAUUUAAACUUAAACUGAAUCAAAACUUCCAAGUUUAAUGAUGUGCAAAACAGGAAUAAAUGAAGUAAACUGAUGCGACAUGUGAAAGCGCACGUGGACUUAACGUUUUGGAUUACGAUUGUUGUAUAAUUUCCUGUAAAAAUCAUGGCCACUCCGUUGUAUGAUCCUAAACUAUCAGGAGCCAAAUUCAAGAAUUGGAUUAAGGCUGGAUUAGGUGUGUUAUUUACCAAAGAAGGUAUUGAGCCUUUUGUUCAUGAUGAAAUAGAACAGUUCCAGCAAAAAUGUUUGAGGGACAUUUGCAAGAAUAAUGGACUUCCUGUUGGUAUCACGUGUUCUAGUUGUUGCACAGAAAAUGUCGUCGUUUGCCCCACAAAUAGAAUUUGUAAUGCAAGACGUGGAAAAUGUAACUUCCAUAAAAAUUCUGCCACGCAAUAUCUUCCGUCUGGCUGCCCUAUCAAGAUAUGUCAUAAUUUUAAAAACGCGAUACAGCGGGCCCAUCGAUACUACGGUCCAUCCUAUAAAAACACUGAUGCUGCCCAGUGGUGCAGCAAUCCGUGGGAAGUUGCUAAAUGUUUCAUGCCACCUGACGGAUACACAGAUGCGAUGAAUGCAGCAGACACUGAUUUCAAUGGAAUCACCAGUGUUGUCCUGAACUAUGAAG